CCUACGGGUGGCAGCAGUGGGGAAUAUUGGACAAUGGGGGCAACCCUGAUCCAGCCAUGCCGCGUGUGUGAAGAAGGCCCUCGGGUUGUAAAGCACUUUCAGUGAGGAAGAACGCCUGGUGGUUAAUACCCAUCAGGAAAGACAUCACUCACAGAAGAAGCACCGGCUAACUCCGUGCCAGCAGCCGCGGUAAUACGGAGGGUGCGAGCGUUAAUCGGAAUUACUGGGCGUAAAGCGCGCGUAGGUGGCUUGAUAAGCCGGUUGUGAAAGCCCCGGGCUCAACCUGGGAACGGCAUCCGGAACUGUCAAGCUAGAGUGCAGGAGAGGAAGGUAGAAUUCCCGGUGUAGCGGUGAAAUGCGUAGAGAUCGGGAGGAAUACCAGUGGCGAAGGCGGCCUUCUGGACUGGCACUGACACUGAGGUGCGAAAGCGUGGGUAGCAAACAGGAUUAGAUACCCGGGUAGUC
rnacentral:rRNA from 1 species